AACUAAAAUAAAACCAAAGAAACACAUGAACUUAGAAGCAGAAGUCUCUCUCCGCAGGACUUGAGCUGACAUGAAUCGAUGUCGGCUGAAUUUCCCAUCAUGGGGCCCUCACCACAGUCUGUCAGGAGGCAAGGGGUUUGCCACCAUCCCUGACUAUUCCGUACUCCAAAGAAAUGAGGAAGCCGUCAGCAGCUCAGUGUGUGUGAGGGGGGAGAGGGGACUGUGGGUGAGAUGUGGAAACGAGGUAGAUGGGUGACCUUGUAAGUGCUUACAACUGGUGGCUCACGACAAAGGCCAAAGGCCAGCCCAGAUGGGGUCUCAAAGAGCAACCACACACACACCGAUUCCCGACCUUGGGAACUGUUGUCUACCGGGACGCCCAACUAAGGGUGUUGCAGCACUGAUUUGUCUGGGGUAGCUUGGCCUGAGGUCUGCCAGACGGGUGAUAGGAGGAGACUAUGACCCCUCAUGUGCACGACAAGCUGGCCAGACUGAGAGUGAGGUGGGUCAGGAAGAGACGUCCCAGUUCCCCACAUCAUGUGGUGACCAGAUAAGGAACAGGAAGAAAUCCUUGGUUUGUUUUCGGUGUCAGAGGCAGCUCAGGAAGGUUAGGAGGUGUUAGGCUGGUUGACGCCAACUGAUGUUCCUUCUUUCCUAGUGAUGUGACAAUGUUGCCGACCAAGCAGAACCAGUUGGCAGCCAGAGAGGAGAGGCCACUAGCGCAGACCAUUUGAAACUAUUUAAUCGAAGAAUCAUCAGGUGAGAGAAGCACAUCUCACUAUCGCCAGCCGACAGCUUUUCGUGGAAGAAAAGAGAAACUAGGGCCUCACCUCCGUAUUUGGACCCAUCAGCAGUGACAGCAUUUACAGAGAGGUUGGUGUGGAUGUAGCCGGGGCUGAUGACAGUCACCUCGAUCUCAUACUGUUCCAUCUCAGCACGAAGACAGUCAAAGAAUGCCUGGGUUGCAUGUUUGGAGGC